GCCUGGGUGGCGAAAUUGGCAGACGCAAGGGACUUAAAAUCCCUCGGUAAGUGAUUACCGUGUCGGUUCGAGUCCGACCCCAGGCACCA
rnacentral:tRNA from 1 species